rnacentral:tRNA from 1 species
GCCCGUGAGGGUUCGGGGCCUGGUAGGGGUUCGAGUCCCCGUAGGGGUUCGAGUCCCCGUAGGGGUUCGAGUCCCCGUAAGGGUUC